ensembl:lncRNA
GGGCUUGCCUUAUGAGUAACUCCUGCUGCUGCUGCUAAGUUGCUUCAGUUAUGUCCGACUCUGUGUGAGCCCAGAGACGGCAGCCCACCAGGCUCCCCUGUCCCUGGGAUUCUCCAGGCAAGAACACUGGAGUGGGUUGUCAUUUCCUUCUCCAAUACAUGCAAGUGAAAAAUGAAAGUGAAGUCGCUCAGUUGUGUCCAACUCUUAGCGACCCCAUGGACUGCAGCCCACCAGGCUCCUCCAUCCAUGGGAUUUUCCAGGUGAGAGUACUGGAGUGGGGUGCCAUUGCUUUCUCCAAGAGUAACUCCUGGCCCCUGGUGGCAGCCUGACUUUGCCUCUGCAGUUACAAUCAGUGUGACGGGAUGGCCGACAGCUCCUGUCUUCCAUCUUACAACUACCAUCUCAUCUUACAAGAAAAGAAAUACGACUGACCUAAAGUCAUCCUGACAUCUGAAGGCAGAGCUGCGACCUUUGGCAUGAAGUCCUGGAUCUACUAUCUGUACAUGAUUACGCUAAAGCCAAAGGCUGCUGGAAAAAUUCAGGACCAAACUGGGCCUCUCUCCUUAAAAAGUAUGAGGACUUCCUUGUGCGCUUUUCCUGUCCCUUUCGUGGCUCCAUUUCAUCGUCCAUCCUGUGCUUCAGCUUCCUCACUGCCUCAAAUCUAAGAGUACAGGACCUGAUAUAUUCAACCUUGCCUUGGCUCAUCCCUAAAUUCAGUGCCAGCCCGAGGAUGCCCCAACUCCUCUGGCGUUGGGACAGGAGCCUGGUACCAGAAAAGCUGACAUCAGAGCUACUCUGAGGAGAACAGGACCUCCUGCCCUGAGAUGAAUCCCUCAAACACCCACUCUUCAAGUAAGGCGCUUGCCAGGUUAAAAUGCAGAUGGCAUAGGCUACUGGAACUCCAUCGUGAUGCUCAAUUUUACAAACAUUACUCUUCUGCAGAAACACAUAGCUGUCCAUGUGAUGGAUUGUUGCAAAUUAGAGAAACGCCCCCCUUUGGGGAUGGAAUUGGAAAAGCCACUCUCUGAGCAAACACAAGCACUCAGGAAUACAAGUUGGCAAGCAAAGCAAGAACAGACCUUCAGUUGCUCCUCCCUCAUGGCCCGGAUCUUUGUACAGCGCAUAAUUCGACUUGCCAUUUGUGAUGGCUCUGCUCUCGAGGUAAUUUAGACAAACUGGAACAAAUGGAAACCUUUCUGUUGGAGUCAUCUGUUUGAAAGUGUUGAGAAAAAUGACUACAGAAAAUCGUGCAUUGGAGUUAUUGAGUAUUUCCACAUUCAUGAGAUGACUGAAGAAAACGGUACCAUCUUACUGGUUGAAGGAUUUUGCCAUUGUGUACCCAACUUUGGAGAUGCUUCUAUUUCCUUAGUAUUUAACGUGAUACAUCAUAUUUAAGAUGCUGAGUCCUUGUUGAAUGCAGUCGAAAUUGAGUAUUGGAAUGCUUAUCCCUUUUUCAGAAAGGUGGCUCCCUGGACUGCCUCCGCCUUCCUGUACUUUCCCUCAUUCCUUGCUCUUGACUCCUUCCUACUGUCCACAGUGUGUUUUGACCUCUUACCUCAAAUUGGUGCAGGCUCUUGUGUCUUGAUAGCUAUCCUGGCUGUGGCAUUGGUCCUCUAUCUCAGCAAUGCCUUCGUGGACAUUGUAAUGAUCCUUCCAUCUCAGCUUGGUCAUUAAGACCCCCUCAUAUGUACAUGUUACCCCCAGUCUGACUUGGCCAAACUGACAGUUUUCCCUUUGGCUUAUUUUCCUUCUUACCCAGUUUGGGUCCAUGCUCACUCAUCUCAAC